CCCGGUUUUGUAAAGUCUAAACAUUGAAGUAUUGGUACUGUGUAUGAUAGAGUGAGGCGUGACAGAGACAGAGAGUAACGAAAGGAAGAAAGGAAUGCACCAACCAUGCCACGGAGUUAACUGAGAAGAAAAUUAAGCAAAUCCAUCACAUGUGCUAGCUGAGCAUGCGUGGCGAUUAGCGAUCGAUCUUUUGGCGGAAAACGGCGCUUUUGUUAACCUAUAAUUUGCCGGAGCACUCCGACGAGGAAACGGCGAGGAAGAAACAUCCAGAGGACCAGGAGACGGAGCUGAUCAUUGCUGCAUGCCUUGUGCGGGAAGAGGGGCCGCGAGCGCGCAGGGUCACGAAUCGCCCCGAGGAACCGCCAAACACGGCAGCUUCGCGCCGUUUUCGCCGUAGCGACAUGCGGGGUCUUUCUGGAUACGCUGCGAUAGCAAAGGCGAUCGCGAUUCACAUGAGCCGCGAAAACGCAGCUUCACUAAAAAUAUCGCAUCGGCUCGCCCUCGCCACGACAUUCAGACUACGGCCUCCAAGAGCCACGACAUAUCUUCGCAAGGGAAAAAAAAAAGAAAGAGCCACGACAUCUGUAUAUGUCCGCAAGCUAUUUUAUUCUAGUUUUAUUAAACGAGUGCCAUACGCACCGGUUACAAAUGCUUGAUUGACGACCUCUACCAAAAAAAAAACAUUGUUCAAUCGGCGUCCGAUUUUCCAGUUCGUCGGCAUUGGAUUCCUCCGACAGCUCAUGGGCUCGCGCCAUUGUCAGAGCUCCACAGUACUGUACCGCCCUCCCCUGCGCUGGCGCGCCUGCUGCAGCUGCAGCUGCGAAUCCAUCUGCAUGCAGUUGCGGU
rnacentral:lncRNA from 1 species